GUGGGGUUUCCUGGGGUUUCCUGGGGUGUGGACACUCAUUCCUCCAGUGGCCAUAUUGGCCACAGUUGAAACAAGUGUUCCUGUCUAUUCCUCCUUGGUUACCCCUAUAACCCUGAUUUCCCUGUCUCCAUCCCCUUGCUCCUCUUUGACCACCCCUUCCACGGGCUUUAUGUGCUCCAUCCCAUCCUUGCUCUCAUCCUGUGUAGGUGGACAGUGUUGCAAUCCCUGAGCAUAAUAAGCAACCUUACUUUCCUAAAUCUUUUCUUAAUUCAGAACAACCUGCAUUUUCCUUUUCUAUAACCUUGGUAAGAAAAUCUGAGCUAUCCAAAUUGUCCCAGUCUGAAAUCAAUUGUUUCACAAACAAAGAAUACUGUGGCAACAUAUUACCAAGGCAUGACUGUAUUUUAAAGAUAUCUAUAUCAUCUCCAGACAUCAAACCUGCCUCAUCCUUCCAACACUUGUAAAAUUUCUUUACAAAAAUCAUAUUACCAAUCUCUUCCUUUGCAUCUUGCUUAUAUGCCAAAGCAGUGAAUAUAGACUGCUUAUUCUUCCAUAAUCCCAACAUUUCAGCUUCCACCUUGUUCCAAAUUUUAGCACAUCUUACUGAAGUACUAAGCUCAUAAUCACCAAUUCAUUUCAAACCAUAUAACUCAUACUCAGCAUCCAAUGUAAUAUUACACGUCAUCUCACAAAACAAUAUCUUUGUAAAAACACAUAAUGGGUACCCAGCAGAUAUGCCAAUACAGAAAUCACAUUUAUGGGCACACAACUACACACUCUGUCUCCCUCCUAGGAAACACAGAUAGACACAAUAUAAACGCAAUCUUAAACUAAC
rnacentral:lncRNA from 1 species